GGUAAAAUGGCUGAAAAUAGGCGAUAAACUGUAAAUUUAUUUAUGAAUUAAAUAAUUCUUUUACCA
rnacentral:tRNA from 1 species